GACGUAGGGCGCGAGCGUUGUCCGGAUUUAUUGGGCGUAAAGAGCUCGUAGGCGGCUUGUUGCGUCAGCUGUGAAAACCCGCAGCUCAACUGCGGGUCUGCAGCCGAUACGGGCAGGCUAGAGUUCGGUAGGGGAGACUGGAAUUCCUGGUGUAGCGGUGAAAUGCGCAGAUAUCAGGAGGAACACCGGUGGCGAAGGCGGGUCUCUGGGCCGAUACUGACGCUGAGGAGCGAAAGCGUGGGGAGCGAACAGG
rnacentral:rRNA from 1 species